rnacentral:rRNA from 1 species
UACGGGGGGAGCAAGCGUUGUUCGGAUUUACUGGGCGUAAAGGGCGCGUAGGCGGUCAGCACAAGUCAGUUGUGAAAUCUCCGGGCUUAACCCGGAAAGGUCAACUGAUACUGUGCGACUAGAGUGCGGAAGGGGCAACUGGAAUUCUCGGUGUAGCGGUGAAAUGCGUAGAUAUCAGGAGGAACACCGGUGGCGAAGGCGGGUCUCUGGGCCGUAACUGACGCUGAGGAGCGAAAGCGUGGGGAGCGAACAGG